UCCUGGCUCAGAUUGAACGCUGGCGGCAUGCCUUACACAUGCAAGUCGAACGGCAGCACGGGAGCAAUCCUGGUGGCGAGUGGCGAACGGGUGAGUAAUAUAUCGGAACGUGCCCAGUCGUGGGGGAUAACGUAGCGAAAGCUACGCUAAUACCGCAUACGAUCUAUGGAUGAAAGCGGGGGAUCGCAAGACCUCGCGCGAUUGGAGCGGCCGAUAUCAGAUUAGGUAGUUGGUGAGGUAAAGGCUCACCAAGCCGACGAUCUGUAGCUGGUCUGAGAGGACGACCAGCCACACUGGGACUGAGACACGGCCCAGACUCCUACGGGAGGCAGCAGUGGGGGAAUUUUGGACAAUGGGCGCAAGCCUGAUCCAGCAAUGCCGCGUGCAGGAUGAAGGCCUUCGGGUUGUAAACUGCUUUUG
rnacentral:rRNA from 1 species